rnacentral:rRNA from 1 species
AUUGAACGCUGGCGGCAGGCCUAACCCAUGCAAGUCGAGCGAGUGGCGGACGGGUGAGUAAUGUAUGGGGAUCUGCCCGAUGGAGGGGGAUAACUACUGGACACGGUGGCUAAUACCGCAUACUAUCGGAUGAACCCAGAUGGGAUUAGCUAGUUGGUGGGGUAACGGCUCACCAGGGCGACGAUCCCUAGCUGGUCUGAGAGGAUGAUCAGCCACACUGGAACUGAGACACGGCCCAGACUCCUACGAGAGGCAGCAGUGGGGAAGAUUGCACAAUGGGCGCAAGCCUGAUGCAGCCAUGCCGCGUGUAUGAAGAAGGCCUUAGGGUUGUAAAGUACUUUCAGCGGGGAGGCGUUACCCGAAGAAGAAGCACCGGCUAACUCCGUGCCAGCAGCCGCGGUAAUAC